rnacentral:rRNA from 1 species
UACGGAGGGUGCGAGCGUUGUCCGGAAUCACUGGGCGUAAAGGGCGCGUAGGUGGCGCGGCAGUCAACGGUGAAAGUUCGGGCUCAACCCUGAAUCGGCCGUCGAUACUCCCGAGCUCGAGCACUGUAGAGGCAGAUGGAAUUCCGGGUGUAGCGGUGGAAUGCGUAGAGAUCCGGAAGAACACCGGUGGCGAAGGCGGUCGACUGGCUGAGCUGGACACUAGGCGCGAACAGCGAUGGGCAAGCGGAUAGAACCGUGGAGACAUACGA